GACGAACGCUGGCGGCGUGCUUAACACAUGCAAGUCGAACGGUAAGGCUCCAGCUUGCUGGGGUACACGAGUGGCGAACGGGUGAGUAACACGUGGGUGACCUGCCCUGCACUUCGGGUUAAGCCUGGGAAACUGGGUCUAAUACCGGAUAGGACCAUGGUGUGGAUACUGUGGUGGAAAGUUUUUUCGGUGUGGGAUGGGCCCGCGGCCUAUCAGCUUGUUGGUGGGGUAAUGGCCUACCAAGGCGGCGACGGGUAGCCGGCCUGAGAGGGUGGACGGCCACAUUGGGACUGAGACACGGCCCAGACUCCUACGGGAGGCAGCAGUGGGGAAUAUUGCACAAUGGGCGGAAGCCUGAUGCAGCGACGCCGCGUGGGGGAUGACGGCCUUCGGGUUGUAAACUCCUUUCACCAUCGACGAAGGGUUUCUGACGGUAGAUGGAGAAGAAGCACCGGCUAACUACGUG
rnacentral:rRNA from 1 species